ensembl:lncRNA LINC01937 long intergenic non-protein coding RNA 1937
CAUCAGGAAUGUGUGGCUCACAGUUCUGGAAGACGGAGGUCCGAGGUCGAAGGCCCAGCAGCUUCGGUGUCUGGUGCGGAACCGCCUUCCAGCUGCCCGGGGGCACAGGCACGCAGAAGAGACUUUCCCACAGCGGUUCCCAGAGCCCUGGAUGAGGCGUCCUCCAAAGGAUUAUGUCACCAAGUUUCUGCAGAUACUUGUCUCUCCCAAACCAACCAAGGCUGCAUUAACCUUUCCUGAAAAUAAAAAACAGUUCUGCUUUUACCAUUUGGGGGCCUGAGGCAAGUGUUCAAAUAGAAGCCCUCCUGCCAGUCUAUUAAAUGAAGCUACUAAACUAUUAAAUAGAAUAUGUCUGCUCCUCUCACCUUCCUCUCUGCUCAGUAGUAUGUCUCUUACCACCUGGAGGCUGGGUCUACUUACUGCCUUUCCUGCCACAAGACCUUGUCUUGUGCCCAGAGGGCCUCAGGCACGUGCGUGUGGACACCACAUUCCCAUCCACUAGAAUGGCAAACAUUACAAAGACUGUUUAAAGUGUUGUCAAGGACGUGAAGCAAUUGAAACCCUUAGACACUGCCGGUGGGGAUGCAAAAUGGCACAGUCGCUUUGGAAAACAGUAUGGCAAUUUCUAAUGAGGUCCCACAUGCAGCUACCAUGUGAUCCAGCAAUCCCACUCCUAGGCAUGUACCCAGGAGAAACACAAACUUAUGGACACAAAAA